GGCUCAGAACAAACGCUGGCGGCAGGCCUAACACAUGCAAGUCGAACGCGCGUAGCAAUACGCGAGUGGCGCACGGGUGAGUAAUACGUGGGAAUCAAUCCUGAGGUUCGGAAUAACCGCGGGAAACUGCGGCUAAUACCGGAUGUCCCCUACGGGGGAAAGAUUUAUCGCCUUGGGACGAGCCCACGUCCGAUUAGCUAGUUGGUGAGGUAAUGGCUCACCAAGGCUACGAUCGGUAGCUGGUCUGAGAGGACGACCAGCCACACUGGAACUGAGACACGGUCCAGACUCCUACGGGAGGCAGCAGUGGGGAAUAUUGGGCAAUGGAGGCAACUCUGACCCAGCCAUGCCGCGUGGGUGACGAAGGUCUUCGGAUUGUAAAGCCCUUUCGGCGGGGACGAUGAUGACGGUACCCGCAGAAGAAGCCCCGGCUAACUUCGUGCCAGCAGCCGCGGUAAUACGAAGGGGGCUAGCGUUGUUCGGAAUUACUGGGCGUAAAGGGCGUGUAGGCGGCCCGUUAAGACAGGUGUGAAAUUCCUGGGCUCAACCCAGGACGUGCGCCUGUGACUGGCGGGCUUGAGUCCGGGAGAGGAUGGUGGAACUCCCAGUGUAGAGGUGAAAUUCGUAGAUAUUGGGAAGAACACCCGUGGCGAAGGCGGCCAUCUGGACCGGUACUGACGCUAAGGCGCGACAGCGUGGGGAGCAAACAGGAUUAGAUACCCUGGUAGUCCACGCCGUAAACGAUGAGUGCUAGACGUUGGGCAGCCUAGCUGUUCAGUGUCGCAGCUAACGCAUUAAGCACUCCGCCUGGGGAGUACGGCCCGCAAGGUUGAAACU
rnacentral:rRNA from 1 species